GACGAACGCUGGCGGCGUGCUUAACACAUGCAAGUCGAACGAUGAAGCCUAGCUUGCUAGGUGGAUUAGUGGCGAACGGGUGAGUAAUACGUGAGUAACCUACCUUUAACUCUGGGAUAAGCCUGGGAAACUGGGUCUAAUACCGGAUACGACCAAUCUCCGCAUGGGGUGUUGGUGGAAAGCGUUAUGUAGUGGUUAUAGAUGGGCUCACGGCCUAUCAGCUUGUUGGUGAGGUAACGGCUCACCAAGGCGACGACGGGUAGCCGGCCUGAGAGGGUGACCGGCCACACUGGGACUGAGACACGGCCCAGACUCCUACGGGAGGCAGCAGUGGGGAAUAUUGCACAAUGGGCGCAAGCCUGAUGCAGCGACGCCGCGUGAGGGAUGACGGCCUUCGGGUUGUAAACCUCUGUUAGCAGGGAAGAAGAGAAAUUGACGGUACCUGCAGAGAAAGCGCCGGCUAACUACGUGCCAGCAGCCGCGGUAAUACGUAGGGCGCGAGCGUUGUCCGGAAUUAUUGGGCGUAAAGAGCUUGUAGGCGGUUUGUCGCGUCUGCUGUGAAGGCCGGGGCUUAACCCCGUGUAUUGCAGUGGGUACGGGCAGACUAGAGUGCAGUAGGGGAGACUGGAAUUCCUGGUGUAGCGGUGGAAUGCGCAGAUAUCAGGAGGAACACCGAUGGCGAAGGCAGGUCUCUGGGCUGUAACUGACGCUGAGAAGCGAAAGCAUGGGGAGCGAACAGGAUUAGAUGCCCUGGUAGCCCAUGCCGUAAACGUUGGGCACUAGGUGUGGGGGACAUUCCACGUUUUCCGCGCCGUAGCUAACGCAUUAAGUGCCCCGCCUGGGGAGUACGGCCGCAAGGCUAAAACUCAAAGAAAUUGACGGGGGCCCGCACAAGCGGCGGAGCAUGCGGAUUAAUUCGAUGCAACGCGAAGAACCUUACCAAGGCUUGACAUAUACUGGACCGCAUCAGAGAUGGUGUUUCCCUUCGGGGCUGGUAUACAGGUGGUGCAUGGUUGUCGUCAGCUCGUGUCGUGAGAUGUUGGGUUAAGUCCCGCAACGAGCGCAACCCUCGUUCUAUGUUGCCAGCACGUUAUGGUGGGGACUCAUAGGAGACUGCCGGGGUCAACUCGGAGGAAGGUGGGGAUGACGUCAAAUCAUCAUGCCCCUUAUGUCUUGGGCUUCACGCAUGCUACAAUGGCCGGUACAGAGGGUUGCGAUACUGUGAGGUGGAGCUAAUCCCUAAAAGCCGGUCUCAGUUCGGAUUGGGGUCUGCAACUCGACCCCAUGAAGUCGGAGUCGCUAGUAAUCGCAGAUCAGCAACGCUGCGGUGAAUACGUUCCUGGGCCU
rnacentral:rRNA from 1 species